GGCAAGGCGCUAGAGGGUCACCUCGCCUAGCCCAGUGCCUCGCCUGGCACCUUUUCUCCCCUUUAACAACACUGGUUGUUAUUAGUGUGAAAUUAGUAAUCAAUCCUUCUCUGUCUCUAUCUCAUUCUUUUUUUUCCCCUCACUAGUCUCUUGGAUACUUACGAUCGAGAAAUCACUAGUAUCAUUAGAUCUCUUGAGCCUACCAAGAGAUGUCACAUACCUUAGGCGAG
rnacentral:misc_RNA from 1 species